GAAUUCACUAGUGAUUCAGGCCUAACACAUGCAAGUCGAACGAUGACUUUUGUGCUAGCACAAAAUGAUUAGUGGCGAACGGGUGAGUAACACGUGAGUAACCUGCCCUUAACUUCGGGAUAAGCCUGGGAAACCGGGUCUAAUACCGGAUACGACCUCCUGACGCAUGUCAUGGGGGUGGAAAGCUUGAUGCGGUUUUGGAUGGACUCGCGGCCUAUCAGCUAGUUGGUUGGGGUAAUGGCCCACCAAGGCGACGACGGGUAGCCGGCCUGAGAGGGUGACCGGCCACACUGGGACUGAGACACGGCCCAGACUCCUACGGGAGGCAGCAGUGGGGAAUAUUGCACUAUGAGGGAAAGCCUGAUGCAGCA
rnacentral:rRNA from 1 species